rnacentral:misc_RNA from 1 species
GAUGAAGAACGCAGCGAAAUGCGAUAAGUAGUGUGAAUUGCAGAAUUCAGUGAAUCAUCGAAUCUUUGAACGCACAUUGCGCCCUUUGGUAUUCCUUAGGGCAUGCCUGUUCGAGCGUCAUUUGAAACCUCAAGCUCAGCUUGGCGUUGGGUGUCUGUCCCCGCCUCACCGCGGGGACUCGCCUCAAAAUCAUUGGCGGCCGGUACGUUGGCUUCGAGCGCAGCAGAAACGCGAACUCGAGGCCCGGCGGAUCGGCGACCAGAAGUCACUUCUUCACAGUUUGACCUCGGAUCAGGUAGGGAUACCCGCUGAACUUAAGCAUAUCAAUAAGCGGAGGA